CUCCUGUGUCAAAUAAACAGACUGUGAUUUAUCCUCAUUGCAAUCGGUGAACGUUAUUGAGGACAAUCAAUGGCAGGGCAUUCCUGAGAGAAGGGAAACAGAGCCCAGGUGAUGUUUCUAACUGCUGACCUUGAAAACCUCACGCUGGGACCAGAUAAUCAAGCUGGCUUCUUUCCUUCUGGGGCACCGCCACCGGUAGUAAAGGUUCUAUAGGCCAAACAGUGCCCUCGUUUACUCCCAUGAAACCUCACUGUCUUCAGUGACAGCCUUGUGUAGCUGAUUGAAACGUAGUAAACAAUUGUGUUGAGGCAUGAGAAAGAUCAGAAUCCAGCUGUGUGUUGGCUCUGCAGGCCUGGCAGGACUAAAAAGCAGCAAAACCUUUCCUCCCAUCCCCCAAAGUCUGAACAGAGGAUUCUGAAUCUACACAAGGAAUAGAUCUAAUGAGUGAAGAGGUACAAUUUGUGCAUACUGUAGUCAUUUGAGUUCAGAGCCACACCCAUUGGGUUGGGGCUAAAAUCGAAGGGAGAACUUCAGCUCUGUUGAUUUGGCCUUCAUGUUCAUUUUUAUAUUAACAUUACUAUUGAUCCUGAAUCUACAGCUAAAAAGUACUAUUGUAACUAAUGUGAUUAGAAAACCACAGCAAACAUUUGUAUCAUGUGCCAUGGGCCAACAGCUACUAACAAUGAAAGGUUACUCACCUGUCCAGUAACCUUUCAUUUCGAGUUCCUCGAGAUGGAGGCUGCAUGAGAGAAUGUGCACACCCACUUAGUCAGCAGUGCCCACGGGUCUGUGCCUGCACCCUUACAGCUCUUCGUGCUUCAGUACAAGGGCCUGCCACUGCUCCAUUUCCUUCUCAACCUCAAAGCCCAACAGGACUCCGAAGCUGAGGGGAAAGGAGAGCAGGUGGUGGAGUGGACAAUACAUCUUGAAGAACUCCAGUCACUGUAGAAGGGGUCUCAAAGGAGGAGUCUGGAAUUGGAAAGGGAUGGAAUCCUAAAUGGAGGCUGAGUCCAAGGAAGUGCCCUCUUCUGUCUCCAGUGGAGAAGCUAAAGGCACCACUACUCGUGCUCGGAUGGGUACAGGGGACUGAGGAGAGACUGGCAGCCAUGCUGGAACUGACAGAUUAAUCUUCGUAUGAGUAUGGGACAGCUGGAGGGGGAGUGGGGUCUCUUACACUUAGAAGACUUCUAGAUGACCAAAGCUGCCCUGUGGUCUCUGCUUGCCAGAGCUGAGGAAGCCACUGGAGUACUGUGAGUGACUGAGGCUGAUGUAUGGAGGAUGGAGAGUCAAGAUACUGCUGGUCUCAGCACAUCUUACACUUGGCUGGGAUGCGAGACCCUCCAAUGCAGCGGAGGCAGCUGGAGUACCCAUUACUGAGGGGAAGAGACCUGUGGCAAGUCUGGCAGAACUGGAAUCCCAGGUUAUUGGCCAUAACCUACCCAUAAAGACCACAGACUGGCAGGAGGCAAGAGCCGAAAGGCCCUGGUCGCAAAGAAAAAGGGAAAGGGCAAAUUCCCCCCUUCCAAAAGCACGAGACUGUGCUAUAAAGAAUACUAUAAAGAUAAGAUAACAUAAAAUAAAAAAUAAACCAGUUGUGUCAGCUAGCUAGUGGACACUGCAAACUCCAUCUCAAACCAGAGUGGUUGGAAGGAACUAGUGGGGCAGUGGAUCAGCCCCUCCCUAUAUGUCCUCAUACCAGUGCCCGAGGAGGCAUGGGACGCAGGCACGGAGCUGCGGGAACUGCUGACAAAACUCUCUGAUCAAGAGUGCACGGGUGUGCACACCACCUCUGGUGGAGAAUUCAUGGGGCUGUACUCAAAGAAGCUGUUCUAUGUUCGUAUUUAAGAUUACAAAGUCAGAAUAAUGAUCAUGUUGCUGUAGAUAUUAGUUGGCAUGAGUGUAACCAAUACCUUCGAAAAAGGAAGGACACACUAGUGGCUGUCAUGUUACUGGGAAAAAACGCCAAAAUCUGAUCUGCCUUCAAAUAGUAUGUAUAUGUCAGAAUAAACCUAAUGUCACCUAAGGGCUUAAUCCAAAGCCCAUAGGAGUUCUUCAGUGACUUCUGUGCAUUUUGGAUCAGGUCCCAAAUGAGAAGGAGAUGGGAGACCACAGACAGAACUUUUAGAAGGGUUCAGCACUUGCAGUUAGGACCAGGUUUUCAAGUUCUCAGCUCCCAUUUAGUCACCAAAAUUCAUGGCCAGAUUUUCAAAAGAGCUCAGCACAUUGGCUGCACAUGCUUCCCUAGGAGCUGUGGGGUGCUCGGCAAUUGGAACAUUUGGUCCUUUUUUGGGUCAGACUUACAAAGGUGACCAGCUCCCAUGCAGGCAUUUAAAGAGGGCCAGAGCUGCAAAAUAGCUCAGCAGCCAGCAGCUCCCAUUGUGACACUUAGCCAGAUUUUCAGAAGAGUCCAGCACCCAAAAUGUGCUUUUGAAAAUCUACCCCUUUAAUUGGGUGCCUAACUGGGAGCUGAGCUCUUGUGAAAGUCUGGCCCCAACAGUGGGUGCUAAGCCCUUGGAGAUCUGACCCUGGGAUCUUGUGAAAAGCUGACCUCAUGGCUGAAAGACUCUCCGACAUUCUCUAUGAAUGGGAAUCAGAACCCUGAACAGUAUAAGUACUUCCAGCUCCCCACUGCUACAGUCAGUCUAUUAUCUCCACUUUCUAACCUGCCGAAAUAAUAAAACCC